AUUGAACGCUGGCGGCAUGCCUUACACAUGCAAGUCGAACGGCAGCACGGGUGCUUGCACCUGGUGGCGAGUGGCGAACGGGUGAGUAAUACAUCGGAACGUACCUUAUCGUGGGGGAUAACGCAGCGAAAGCUGUGCUAAUACCGCAUACGCCCUGAAGGGGAAAGCGGGGGAUCGAAGGACCUCGCGCGAUUAGAGCGGCCGAUGCCUGAUUAGCUUGUUGGUGGGGUAAAAGCCCACCAAGGCGACGAUCAGUAGCUGGUCUGAGAGGACGAUCAGCCACACUGGGACUGAGACACGGCCCAGACUCCUACGGGAGGCAGCAGUGGGGAAUUUUGGACAAUGGGGGCAACCCUGAUCCAGCAAUGCCGCGUGAGUGAAGAAGGCCUUCGGGUUGUAAAGCUCUUUUGUCAGGGAAGAAACACCGGCUCUAACACAGUCCGGGAAUGACGGUACCUGAAGAAUAAGCACCGGCUAACUACGUGCCAGCAGCCGCGGUAA
rnacentral:rRNA from 1 species